rnacentral:rRNA from 1 species
UACGGAGGGGGGUUAGCGUUGUUCGGAAUUACUGGGCGUAAAGCGCACGUAGGCGGAUCAGAAAAGUUGGGGGGGUGAAAUCCCCGGGGGCUCAACCCCCGGAACUGCCUCCAAAAACUCCUGGUCUUGAGUUCGAGAGAGGUGAGUGGAAUUCCGAGUGUAGAGGUGAAAAUUCGUAGAUAUUCGGAGGAACACCAGUGGCGAAGGCGGCUCACUGGCUCGAUACUGACGCUGAGGUGCGAAAAGUGUGGGGGAGCAAAACAGGAUUAGAUACCCCGGGGUAGUCC